AACGAACGCUGGCGGCAGGCUUAACACAUGCAAGUCGAGCGCCCCGCAAGGGGAGCGGCAGACGGGUGAGUAACGCGUGGGAAUCUACCCAAUACUACGGAAUAGCUCCGGGAAACUGGAAUUAAUACCGUAUGUGCCCGACAGGGGAAAGAUUUAUCGGUAUUGGAUGAGCCCGCGUUGGAUUAGCUAGUUGGUGGGGUAAUGGCCUACCAAGGCGACGAUCCAUAGCUGGUCUGAGAGGAUGAUCAGCCACACUGGGACUGAGACACGGCCCAGACUCCUACGGGAGGCAGCAGUGGGGAAUAUUGGACAAUGGGCGAAAGCCUGAUCCAGCCAUGCCGCGUGAGUGAUGAAGGCCUUAGGGUUGUAAAGCUCUUUCAGUGGGGAAGAUAAUGACGGUACCCACAGAAGAAGCCCCGGCUAACUUCGUGC
rnacentral:rRNA from 1 species